rnacentral:rRNA from 1 species
GAUGAACGCUGGCGGCGUGCCUAAUACAUGCAAGUCGAGCGAACGGACGAGAAGCUGUCUUCUCUGAUGUUAGCGGCGGACGGGUGAGUAACACGUGGAUAACCUACCUAUAAGACUGGGAUAACUUCGGGAAACCGGAGCUAAUACCGGAUAAUAUUUUGAACCGCAUGGUUCAAAAGUGAAAGACGGUCUUGCUGUCACUUAUAGAUGGAUCCGCGCUGCAUUAGCUAGUUGGUAAGGUAACGGCUUACCAAGGCAACGAUGCAUAGCCGACCUGAGAGGGUGAUCGGCCACACUGGAACUGAGACACGGUCCAGACUCCUAAGGGAGGCAGCAGUAGGGAAUCUUCCGCAAUGGGCGAAAGCCUGACGGAGCAACGCCGCGUGAGUGAUGAAGGUCUUCGGAUCGUAAAACUCUGUUAUUAGGGAAGAACAUAUGUGUAAGUAACUGUGCACAUCUUGACGGUACCUAAUCAGAAAGCCCCGGCUAACUACGUG